rnacentral:rRNA from 1 species
UACAGAGGUCUCGAGCGUUAGGCGGAAUCACUGGGCUUAAAGCGUGUGUAGGUGGAUCGUUAAGUACCUUGUGAAAUCCCACGGCUUAACCGUGGAACUGCUUGGUAUACUGGCGGUCUUGAGUCAGCUAGGGGCUACCGGAACAAAUGGUGGAGCGGUGAAAUGCGUAGAUAUCAGGAGGAACACCAACGGCGAAGGCAGCCCGCUGGGACGGUACUGACGCUAAGGCGCGAAAGCGUGGGGAGCGAACAGG